rnacentral:tRNA from 1 species
GGCGCAUUGGUGUAGUCGGUUAACACGCAGCCCUCUCAAGGCUGAGACCACGGGUUCGAGUCCCGUAUGCGCUGCCA